AGCGUGCGCAGGCGGUUUUGUAAGACUGUCGUGAAAUCCCCGGGCUCAACCUGGGAAUGGCGAUGGUGACUGCAAGGCUAGAGUUUGGCAGAGGGGGGUAGGAAUUCCACGUGUAGCAGUGAAAUGCGUAGAUAUGUGGAGGAACACCGAUGGCGAAGGCAGCCCCCUGGGUCAAAACUGACGCUCAUGCACGAAAGCGUGGGGAGCAAACAGGAUUAGAUACCCCUAGU
rnacentral:rRNA from 1 species